GAUUAACGCUGGCGGCGUGCCUAACACAUGCAAGUCGAGCGGCAGCGAGUUUUACACUGAAUUCUGGAAGCUUCUAGUUGCAAGAGAAGAUUUAUUCAAGAAUUUUGUGUAAAAUGUCGGCGAGCGUCGGACGGCUGAGUAACGCGUGGGAACGUACCCCAAAGUGAGGGAUAACGCAUCGAAAGGUGUGCUAAUACCGCAUAUGGUCUUCGGAUUAAAGCCUUCGGGCGCUUUGGGAACGGCCUGCGUAAGAUUAGAUAGUUGGUGGGGUAAUGGCCUACCAAGUCGACGAUCUUUAACUGGUUUGAGAGGAUGAUCAGUCAGACUGGAACUGAGACACGGUCCAGACUCCUACGGGAAGCAGCAGUGAGGAAUCUUCCACAAUGGGCGAAAGCCUGAUGGAGCAACGCCGCGUGCAGGAUGAAGGCCUUCGGGUUGUAAACUGCUUUUAUAAGUGAGGAUUAUGACAGUAACUUAUGAAUAAGGAUCGGCUAACUACGUG
rnacentral:rRNA from 1 species